GGGGAGGGGAGGGGGGGCGCCGAGGAAAGGAGAGACGUGGUCAGGGGCCACUGAGUGAGGCCCCUUCUCAUGUAACCGUCUGUGCUGUGGCAGAGUACACAGAGCCAUUUCAACCAUAUUUUAGUGUCAAUUCAGUAUCACUGAGUUUGUGCCAUGUUAUGCAACCAUCACUAUGUAUUUCCAAAACUUUCUGUCACCCCGAAAAGAAACCCCUGGCCUUCCCCAGUCCUUCCCCCCUAGCCCCGGGCAACAGCUCCUCCUCCUCCCGUCUCUAUGACCUGCCUAUCCUGGAUCUCUCGAUUGAGUGGAAUCCUGCAGCUCCAGGAUUCCCAAGUUUUGGUCUGGCUUCUCUCACUGACCAUGCUGUUUGCAAUGUGGUACCAGCUACCAGAGCUUCGAGCCUGCCUCUGCCAUGAAAAGGCUGGGGCUCAGAGGACCUCAGGGCUUCCCUAGUAGCUCAGUUGGUGAAGAAUCUGCCUGCAACGCAGGAGACCCUGGAUCCGGAAGAUCCACUGGAGAAGGGAAGAGCUAUCCACUCCAGUAUUCAGACUGAGUGGCUUUCACUUUCAGAGGACCUGUGACUUAGAAUAGGAGGUAGUUAAUUUUAAAAGAAAAGAAAGGAGACGACUUGGACUUUGGAGCCGAGAAGACCUGACUGAGAGCAUGAACAGAACAGCAUCCGAAGAUGGAGCCUCCGGGGAGCUGGGCGCGCAGCCUGGACGGCUGGCCUCCCCAGGAAGCAGGACUACUUUUAGUCUUAUUUCAAAUAAAGGAAACUGAGGCCCAUCUGUCUGCCACUUGAA